rnacentral:tRNA from 1 species
AAGAAAGUAUCAUAGUGGUAAUGUAAGUGGCUUGAAACUAUUUUACGGAGGUUCGAUUCCUUCCUUUCUCG